CCCUUAGACGUUCUGGGCCGCACGCGCGCUACACUGACACAGGCAACGAGCUUUCCUUUACCGAAAGGUAUGGGUAAUCUUUUGAAACUGUGUCGUGCUGGGGAUAGAUCCUUGCAAUUUUUGAUCUUAAACGAGGAAUUCCUAGUAAGCGCGAGUCAUCAACUCGCGUUGAUUACGUCCCUGCCCUUUGUACACACCGCCCGUCGCUACUACCGAUUGAAUGGCUUAGUGAGGCCUCAGGAUCCGCGCUUAAUGUGUGGAGAAUUUGGACAGACUACGUCAUUUAGAGGAAGUAAAAGUCGUAACA
rnacentral:rRNA from 1 species